CUGCCUCUUUCAAAAGCAGCUCUUCUGGUAAUUUUUUGGUUUACAUAUUGCUGGAGCCAGGCUUACAGAAUUUUAAGCAUAACCUUGAUAGUUUGUGAACUGAGUACAGUAAUGUUCAGUAAUUUGAACAUUCUUUGGCUUUGUCCUUUAGGAUUAGGACAUAAACUGGUCUUUUUCAAUCCAGGAGACGCUGUUGAGUUUUCCAAAUUUGCUGAAAUAUUGAGUAUACUACAGAAUUGCCUCUUGGAGUUUUAAAUUGCUUAAUUGGGAUUCCAUCACCUCCACUAACAUUGCUAACAGUGCUCCCUAAGCCCCACUUACCUGGCUGUAGAUCAGCAACCACACAUUCUGCCAUUCUCAUCCAUAUGGAAGCACAGGACAAAGCAUAGGAAAAUAGAUUUAGAAUUAGACAAGGCCUCAAGGACAUCAAGACUAAUUCUCUUCAUUUUUGAGAUGUGGAGAGACACAUAUAGGUAUCAGCACCAUAUCUCUGUCAUAAAUGGAUUUUGCUUAUCCUGUUGUAUCAGCUUAUCCUGUUUCUACUAACCUCCAACAAAAUGGUUUGCAGUUUCCACGAGCUAGAUCUGUAUUUGCCUAAAGAGAAAAAGGAAGCUUGAAAUCAUUUCAUACAGAAGUACCUGGACACAACAGCAUCCUCCCUUUCAAUGAAAACAAAACAAUACAAAUGGCAGAGGGGGAAUUCAUCUGGAGCUACUUUUAUCACUCAGAUACUGCAGGAUCAUUUUGAGUUGUAUUCUAAGAACCAUGAAUUAUCCCCCUUAGACCAAAGCUUGAAGGUAACCUGUGAAUUGAGGAUGUCAAAAAGUUGGUAGUAGACUGGUAAUAAAAAU